CGCACAUUGCGCCCAUUAGUAUUCUAGCGGGCAUGCCUGUUCGAGCGUCAUUUCAAACUUCAAGCAUUGCUUGGUGAUGAAGUUAGCAGUUCUUUGCGACUUCCAAAACUAUCGGCAGAUCUGCGAUGAUCUAGACUUAGUAAUUUUUCUAGUCUUUGAUUAUUCGUAUAAUUUCGCCUUAUAUCUCUCCAGCUACUCUGGAAGAAUUUCAACAGUUUGACCUCGGAUCAGGUAGGAAUACCCGCUGAACUUAA
rnacentral:misc_RNA from 1 species